AUUUGGGGUCGGUGCUGUUUGGGGUUGGUGCUGUUUGGGGUCGUGGUGGCAGUGCUGACCCUAUAUCCCCAUUGAUCCCAUUCAGCUGCAGUCAGCAGAGUUCAGCUCAGCCAGCAGCGACCAGGGCAGCCCAGGGCUGCAGAACGGCCAACGCGGGCGCAUGGACCGCGGGAACUCC